UUUCAAUCUUUUUAUAUCGGCCCUCGGUCAUCUUUUAUAGACUCCAAGCAGGGGGUGUGGUCGCUCUCCGCAGCCCCGCCCCCUCUGACGUCACCCACGUCGUGUUAAUUUACCGCUAUCAAAAAAAAAAAAAAAAAUCCCUCAAAAACGCGCUUCCCUCCCCAAAAAAAUACCAACGGCCUUUCGCAACCUAUUGUUUUUGCACUAUCGAGGUAUUCGCGCAAAUAUGAGGUUGCAAAAUCACUCGACUGGGCCAAUGAGCACCUCUAGAGGGAUUUUAUUACCCCUCCUGAAGCUUUGGCGAGGAUGAAUGGGAAGCCAUAUUCUUAGUGGCUUUCAAGGAAACCUGAAGCCUUUUCGUGCUUCUCACACAACAGAUAUAUUCUGAAAUGUGGUUCUGUUCCAGGGAAAGGGAUUUCUUCCUCUUUAUUCCCCCAGUCUUUCGCCGCAGACCCUGGAAUCCUCUCUGCUCAGCAGUUAUUGAAGUGAGGAGAAGGUACGUCUCCAUGGCAACCAGCAUCUCCGUAUGAGUUCCUGAGAAGGAAACCUGCUACUAUCAAGGGGUGAAGCGUGUCCUGGUCAUAUUUACUGAAAUUCAUUCAGAUACUUUUUUGGAGCCACUGUAU